GGAGAAAUGGCCGCCGGACAACAAACUGCGGUGCAACCGUACAUGUUCGAGCCGGAGUCCGACCCAGAACAACAAGAGGCUCCAGAAGAAGUUCAGCAGCUGAGAAUGAACAUGGAUGUUUCUCAGUGGUGUUCCUGUGGCAGUUGUGAACAAGUGCCUACAGAGCCCGAGAAUAUCUGCUGUAUGGAAAUACCACAGGUAAGUGUGAACACUGGGCAAACAAGGUUGGUAUUCUGCAGUCUCUUUUCUUUAAUCCAUUGUCACUCACUUACCUCUCAUAACUUCUAGGUGACAUGAAGACUAAGUUACAGCAGCUUCCUGAGCAACCAUCAUGCAUGCUGGACCAUCCUGGCCUAGAACCUGUCUGCCUGAAUGUGUUUUCACUGCAGAAUGCACUGAACAUUUAUCGGGCAGACUACGGACCUUUACGUCUGAGGGGAAUAGAGCAGUUUGUACAGGGAUGUUUCCUGUCAGAGUGCUGAGACAGAGUGAGGAGUGGAGGUACUGCCCUGUAUCUAUAGAUCCUCCCUCCAUAUCCCUCAGAGGUGCCCGCCCUGUCCUAAUUCUGUAAGUGGAGAAGAAAUCAGGUUUGUAUAGCAGAGAAGAAGGGAGAAGAAGGUCCUGUGGUCGAAGGAGAUCCUCUCUCCUGCUUCAAGCUUUUGGCAGGCUGCCUGCAUCCAGUGCUGUCCCCUCUCCAGCAGACACUCAUGGUGGGACUUCAACCUCUCCUGAGACCUGACAUGCAUCACACAUUCACAGCGGCAAUCACCCGUCGGUCGCCCUCACCGCCUGAGUACCUAUACCGGGAGGUUGCCAGUUGAGCGGUUGUCACACCGAGAUGUCAUCUCAGCCUUCAGACAGCCGGUUGGUCAGCCUGCGUUGUCUGGCUUGGUUGGAGGAAUGACCUGCAGCCCACACGGCCCUUUGUGGAAUCGUUUUUGACGUGUCUCUGGCAGUAUGAAAUGCAUUUUGUGUCAC